GAGUUUGAUCGUGGCUCAGAUUGAACGCUGGCGGCAUGCCUUACACAUGCAAGUCGAACGGCAGCACGGGAGCUUGCUCCUGGUGGCGAGUGGCGAACGGGUGAGUAAUGCAUCGGAACGUAUCCUGGAGUGGGGGAUAACGUAGCGAAAGUUACGCUAAUACCGCAUAUUCUGUGAGCAGGAAAGCGGGGGACCUUCGGGCCUCGCGCUCUUGGAGCGGCCGAUGUCGGAUUAGCUGGUUGGUGAGGUAAAGGCUCACCAAGGCGACGAUCCGUAGCAGGUCUGAGAGGAUGAUCUGCCACACUGGAACUGAGACACGGUCCAGACUCCUACGGGAGGCAGCAGUGGGGAAUUUUGGACAAUGGGGGCAACCCUGAUCCAGCCAUGCCGCGUGAGUGAAGAAGGCCUCGGUUG
rnacentral:rRNA from 1 species